ACCCGUCUAGCACAGUUGGUAGAGCGCAAGGCUCUUAACCUUGUGGUCGUGGGUUUGAGCCCCACGGUGUA
rnacentral:tRNA from 1 species